rnacentral:rRNA from 1 species
AGUGAACGCUGGCGGCAGGCCUAACACAUGCAAGUCGAACGGCAGCACAGUAAGAGCUUGCUCUUACGGGUGGCGAGUGGCGGACGGGUGAGGAAUACAUCGGAAUCUACUUUUUCGUGGGGGAUAACGUAGGGAAACUUACGCUAAUACCGCAUACGACCUACGCGUGAAAGCAGGGGAUCUUCGGACCUUGCGCGAUUGAAUGAGCCGAUGUCGGAUUAGCUAGUUGGCGGGGUAAAGGCCCACCAAGGCGACGAUCCGUAGCUGGUCUGAGAGGAUGAUCAGCCACACUGGAACUGAGACACGGUCCAGACUCCUACGGGAGGCAGCAGUGGGGAAUAUUGGACAAUGGGCGCAAGCCUGAUCCAGCAAUACCGCGUGGGUGAAGAAGGCCUUCGGGUUGUAAAGCCCUUUUGUUGGGAAAGAAAAGCAGCAGGUUAAUACCCCGCUGUUCUGACGGUACCCAAAGAAUAAGCACCGGCUAACUUCGUG